rnacentral:rRNA from 1 species
ACGAACGCUGGCGGCAUGCCUAACACAUGCAAGUCGAACGAGACCUUCGGGUCUAGUGGCGCACGGGUGCGUAACGCGUGGGAACCUGCCUUUAGGUUCGGAAUAACUCCCCGAAAGGGGUGCUAAUACCGGAUGAUGUCUUCGGACCAAAGAUUUAUCGCCUUUAGAUGGGCCCGCGUAAGAUUAGGUAGUUGGUGGGGUAAAGGCCUACCAAGCCGACGAUCUUUAGCUGGUCUGAGAGGAUGAUCAGCCACACUGGGACUGAGACACGGCCCAGACUCCUACGGGAGGCAGCAGUGGGGAAUAUUGGACAAUGGGCGAAAGCCUGAUCCAGCAAUGCCGCGUGAGUGAUGAAGGCCUUAGGGUUGUAAAGCUCUUUUACCCGGGAUGAUAAUGACAGUACCGGGAGAAUAAGCUCCGGCUAACUCCGU